rnacentral:rRNA from 1 species
UACAGAGGGCUCAAGCGUUGUUCGGAAUUAUUGGGCGUAAAGGGCGCGUAGGCGGCGCGGUAAGUCAGGCGUGAAAUCUCGGAGCUCAACUCCGAAACUGCACUUGAUACUGCCUUGCUGGAGUACUGGAGAGGAGAUUGGAAUUUACGGUGUAGCAGUGAAAUGCGUAGAUAUCGUAAGGAAGACCAGUGGCGAAGGCGAAUCUCUGGACAGUUACUGACACUGAGGCGCGAAGGCCAGGGGAGCAAACGGG